rnacentral:rRNA from 1 species
GCAAGUCGAACGCAGUAGCAAUACUGAGUGGCGGACGGGUGAGUGUAAUGUGGGUAUCUGCCUUUUGGUUUGGAAUAACACGAGGAAACUUGUGCUAAUACCGGAUAAGCCUUUACAGGGAAAGCUUUAGCGCCAAAAGAUGAGCCCAUACUUGAUUAGCUAGUUGGUAAGGUAAAAGCUUACCAAGGCAACGAUCAAUAGCUGUUCUUAGAGGAAGAUCAGCCACAUUGGGACUGAGACACGGCCCAAACUCCUACGGGAGGCAGCAGUGGGGAAUCUUGCACAAUGGGGGAAACCCUGAUGCAGCGAUGCCGCGUGAGUGAAGAAGGCCUUUGGGUUGUAAAGCUCUUUAGUCGGGGAAGAAAAUGACUGUACCCGAAUAAGAAGGUCCGGCUAACUUCGUGCCAGCAGCCGCGGUAAUACGAAGGGACCUAGCGUAGUUCGGAAUUACUGGGCUUAAAGAGCUCGUAGGUGGUUAAAAAAGUUGGUAGUGAAAGCCCAAGGCUUAACCUUGGAACUGCCGCCAAAACUUUUUGACUAGAGUAUGAUAGAGGUAAGUGGAAUUUCUAGUGUAGAGGUGAAAUUCGUAGAUAUUAGAAAGAACGCCGAUUGCGAAGGCAACUUUCUGGAUCAUUACUGACACUGAGGAGCGAAAGCAUGGGUAGCGAAGAGGAUUAGAUACCCUCGUAGUCCAUGCUGUAAACGAUGUGUGCUAGACGUUGGAAAUUUAAUUUUCAGUGUCGCAGCGAAAGCGUUAAGCACACCGCCUGGGGAGUACGACCGCAAGGUUAAAACUCAAAUGAAUUGACGGGGACCCGCACAAGUAGUGGAGCAUGUGGUUUAAUUCGAAGAUACGCGCAGAACCUUACCAACACUUGACUUGUUCGUCGCAACUCCAAGAGAUUA